GAACAGAGGUACUGGCCACGGAUCCAUUGCAGAGGAGCCAGCUUAUACUCCCACGGUGCUAGGAAGGAGGCGGGACAGGUAAGACAAGCACACAAACCAUGGAAAAAACUGGAGGAAACUUUCCACACCUCUUAAGCAACUGGUGCAUUUCCCUGUGGUGUAGGUUGAAUGAAAACAUCGAGGCUUAGAGGGGUUUCUGAGUAGCUGAGAAGUCAGGACUUCACACUCCCGAUCUUUCCCCUGGCCUCCAGUUUGCCUGGCAAAGUCACAGGAAGUAUCUCCAUGGCACCGCAUCAGCCCUCACAGAGCAGGAAACCUUGAUUUCUACAGAGGCUGUUUCCUCCCAGCCUUGUGCAAGGCCCACUGCAGAGACAAAAUUAUGGUGGCCAAAGUGUGAAUGCCAAGGCCACACUGGCCUCCAUCCCUGGGAUUUGCUGGUAGAAGAAAGGGAAUCAGCGCUGACUGAGCUCCUACUAUGUGCCCUUCCUGGGCCUGGCACUGGAAUCACAGGAUGAAUGAAUAAGGCAUAUUUCCUGCCCUGAGGAGGCGUCUAUAGGGGAAGUCGGAAUUAAGGCACCUCCAGAAUUCUGAGGUCAAGGGAAUGUCAACAGAGCUGUGAACAAAAUGCCCAAAGCCAUGAAAAUCUACAGAGAGAGACUCGAAGGGGAGGAAUGGGGUAGGAGCUGGUGCCGAGGAUGAGAGGGGAGAAUUCACCUGGUGGAGAACUGAUAGGCCAGGCUGAGGUCGGGAUGGUGGAGGAGGUGGUGGAGGUGAUGAGGUACCAGAGCAACCUCGAAGAAAGCUGAGAGGCAGGAGACCGCCAAAGGCAAACUUGGAACACCUGGUGACUCCGACUAACUCUCCAUGUGGUGUCCUUGAGGACUUUUAUGAUACUGCUACCACUGCUAAUAGUAAUAAAAGCCACUAUUUAAUGUGUUUACUAUGCGCUGGGUGUGCAAAUAUUGUGGAAAGAGUGAACAUAUGUGCAGAAUGCUUAAUAAACGUGAUCUCCUUUUAUCUUCAAAAGAACAAUACAGGCCAGGUGCGGUGGCUCAUGCCUAUAAUUCCAGCACUUUGGGAGGCCGAGGCAGAUGGAUUGCUUGAGCUCAAGAAGUUUCAGACCAGCCUGGGCAACAUGGCAAAACCCCAUCUCUACAAAAAAAUACCCAAAAAAUUAGCCAGGUGUGAUGUUGCCUGCCUGUGGUCCCAGCUACUCCAGAGGUUGAGGUGGGAGAAUCGCGUGAGCCCAGAAGGUCAAGGCUGCAGUGAGCUGUGAUCCUGCCACUGCACUCCAGCCUGGGGUGACAGAGUGAGACCCUGCCUAAAAAAAAAAGAAUCAAUACGAUUAAUACUUUUACUUCUAUUUUUCAGACAAGGAAAUUGAGGCUCAGAGAGGUUAGGAACUUGCCAGAAGACCUACCAGCAAGUGGCAGAGCUAAGGUCCCAUCUGACCCCAAAGCCCACCCAUAACCGCUAUGCAGUACUGUCCAGGCAGAAACACAAACAUUACCCCAUUGUUUUUAUUCUUCAACACCUUUGGUAUCAUCCAGUCCCAGGACACUGGCUCCUGAGGAAGGAAGGCCCCUCCCACAUCCUUUAAAAUUCCCAGGCAUAAAACCAUGUUCACCAGCCACCGUGAGGGUAAGCCUCAGAGACAGGGACCGUGCCCAC
rnacentral:lncRNA from 10 species